GAGCUAUUCAGUAAGGCCAUUCUACUGCCAAUGUUUGUCUAUGGAGAUUGCAUGACUGUGUGCUUGAUUUAGACACCUGUCAGCAAGGAUGUGGCUGAAAUAGCCGAAUCCACUAAUUUGAAGCAGUGUCCGCAUACUUUUGUAUAUAUAGUGUAUCUGCCUCUCUCGUUCCUUCUCUUUUUAUCUUCUCUUCUUCUCUCCUCUUCUGUUCUCUUCUACCCCCUCUCAGCUCCCUGCCCUCCAGAUGCAGUCAGUGCCGUGGUGGACUGUGCCACCAACAUUGUCACGGUAACCUGGGACAACAGCGUUGCCGAGGUGCUGUACACAGUUACUGCUGAAUGUCCCAGUGGUCAGCACUACACCUGCAACGUCACGGGAAUAGGCUGUGACCUCAGCACCCUGUCAUGUGGCACAGAGUACAAUGUGACUGUCACCCCGUCACGUGGCGGCUGUGUCGGUGUCAACACACCGUCUCAGCUGGUCAAGACAGCGCCCUGCGUACCCCGCCUCACCGAGGUAGAGAUGGACUGUCUAUCAGAUUCCGCCUGGGUGGUAUGGGAGGAGUCAGUGGGUGCCGAGCUUUACGUUGCCGUGGCGACGGACAGCCAGGGGCAGACGUUUGAGUGUAACUCAAUCGACAGUAACACGUGCGCUAUGCCAGAACUGCACUGUGGACAUCACUUUACCUUUACCCUCACCGCCUUAGACCAAAAGUGCUCCAGCGCACCUAGCAACGCUGUGGUGUCCGAGACAGCCCCUUGCCCUCCCCAAGACAUGCAGACCAAGGUGGGCUGUGAGAACCAUACGGUGAGUGUGUCCUGGACCCCCAGCGUGGGAGCUCUAAUGUACACAGCCACCCUGGAGCGCACAGACGGAGAGAUCACCUUCUGCACCACCGAUGGCACAGGAUGUGACAUCACACAGCUGCCCUGCGGAGAGAUGUACGUCCUGGCAGUAACCGCUGAGGGACGCACCUGUAACACCUCCGAGAGCAUGGGGGCUAUUGUCAGAACAGUACCCUGCAUACCCCAGCGUCUGCAGGCCAGUGUGAGCUGCAGCAGUAAUGUGGCCAAUAUGAUGUGGAACACCAGCCGUGGGGGUCAGCUCUACUCUGUAGAGGCUACCGGAACCGACGGACACGUUGCAGGAUGCAUGUCCCAUGACACCCGCUGUGAUCUCACCGGCCUGCACUGCGGCCAGCACUACACCGCCACCAUGGUGGCACGAAACAGUGACUGCACCAGCC
rnacentral:lncRNA from 1 species